GAUAAUACGAAGCUCACAGACUCUUCUGGCCUGAGUAUGUUUUCUUAUUAGUUUUCCUGACAGGGAUCUUCAUCAUCUGGAGUCUCACACAAAGUGUUAAAGGCCACAGAUCCCCUGAACUUCUGUCUGCUGCUGCUCUCUGGAGGUGUUGCUGCCGCGGCCUCACGGCGAACUGGUGGUAAAAACUCUGGCGGUCAUCUAAGGUCGCACGCUCGCCAUCGAAAAAAAAAGAAAAAAAGAGCAGCUCAUUGAGAUUCAGAGGAGAGAGGCUGGACGUGACUCCUCUGUGCGCUCUGACCCUCUGCAGAGGAAGACUGCAGAUCCUCCUUUGUUUCCAGAGGGAGUAAUGACUCACUCACGUUCCCCGCCGGCGGCUGGUUGCUCUCUCAGAAGUCGUUCUGUGCAGCUUCGGGUUCACUGACUUUAUUGCAGUGUGGUUUGGCUCUGAGUGGGAUCAAAGUGUGAUCUGGAGGAGUACGGAGGCCUUUUCACUUCAGUGUUGCUGCUUUCCAUUAACACGCUGUUUCAACUGGGACCUGAGCAGCGCAUCGCUGUCCCCUGUAAAUAUCAGGAUUUAUUCAUGCGUGUAGGAGUAACAUAAUGAUUAGUUGAUUCCUCCUGUGCAGAUUUAGAUUAGUGAGUCAUUAAUGUAAAACGUGUUACAUCUCAAAACUACAAGUCCUUGGUUUUUGAAUCUGCCUCUGUUUUCUGUGUACCUGCACACCACUGUCCUAUUCACCAGUGUCAACGUGAAUUGAGCCCGUCGCCUUGAAGUUCUGCUCCGGACAUGUCUCGAAGACUUGAAAAAUGAUAUAUUGAUGCUGUUCCACUGAUCAACAGGUGGCGGUGACGCAGCACGAAACGCAGCAAUACGCCAACAAAGGCAGUGAAGAAGAAGAAGACCGUCAGCUGUGACACCUGUGCAGAGGCGUACCUGUGUGACCUGAGCAGAUGCGACCCCGCCCGCCCCCGCAAACCUUCAUUAAAGCUGAUGAACCGUGGACCGGGCGGGUGGCGGCUUCAGCCUCCACGGGGUCACAUCAGGACACACACUCACUUGAAGUGGCUGGAGGUGUUUCAUUUCAUUUCUCAUUCAGGGGCUGAGGGAGGCUGCUCUGUUCUGCAUGAGAGACAUUUACAUUUAACACAGCUAUUCGACCUACAUACGCUCCUGGAGAGAGAAAGAGGACGGGGUGAAUGUGAAAAAGAAGAGAUGGGGAGAGGUGUUGAAAGAAAAGAGAGAGAGUGUCUCGCUGAAUUUGAAUAUGAAAGCAUCCGUUUUUCUACAGUGCAGCCUGAAGGUGCGGCACUAACAGGAUGACACGUCAGUUCAAACCAUGAACUGAAAGGAACUCCAGCAGCAUCUCGCUCUCUCACUCUUUAGAUAUGUGAUAAGAAGCAUAAAUAUUUCCUCAGAUUUUCUGGGAUAACGGUUUUUAAUUUUGCAAAGACACCCUGACCUGAUUUCUCCCGUCGUGCAUCCUGAAACUCAGGCAGGAAAAAGUCAACAGGCGGUUUCAUCUGGCCGACCACUGACUCUGUUAAUCCGCAGCCAGGAGUCUGUGCAGGGUUUAAAGCUAGACUAAAGCUUUGAUAUGGCUUUACAUCACACUCUUUGAAAAGUGAUUGUAAAUAUGUGACAGCUGCAGGUUUAACUUUGAAUAAAGAUAUUUGUGGUAAGAGUCA